AAAAUCCGUCKACUUUUGAAAUCGKGAGGGUUCAAGUCCCUCCUA
rnacentral:tRNA from 1 species